rnacentral:rRNA from 1 species
UACGAAGGGGGGCUAGCGUUGCUCGGAAUGACUGGGCGUAAAGGGUGCGUAGGCGGGUUUUUAAGUCAGGGGUGAAAUCCUGGAGCUCAACUCCAGAACUGCCUUUGAUACUGAAGAUCUUGAGUCCGGGAGAGGUGAGUGGAACUGCGAGUGUAGAGGUGAAAUUCGUAGAUAUUCGCAAGAACACCAGUGGCGAAGGCGGCUCACUGGCCCGGUACUGACGCUGAGGCACGAAAGCGUGGGGAGCAAACAGGGUAUAAGCAAACCCAGU